UAUAAAUGAAACCUGUUAAAUGCAAUAGGAGGUUUUACUGCAUGAAUAUUGUGUGAUAGGCAGCUGUGUGUUAUGAUGACCUCUACCCAAGACAGAUAUUACAUGCUUGCUCAGUUCCUCACCAGCAGGCCAGCCCAAAGCACAGCUCUUGCAUUUGAAUUCAACUACCACCACUUACUGGAGCUGUGACUCUGGGUACAUGUCCAAAGCCACCCAUGUGCCUUGAGAACUGAUACCUGGGAACUCAGCCAAGUGCAAGAUGGAGGAUGCAUGAGCUUGAAGGAACUGAAACACCUUUGAGCUUUUGCUCUCUCUGAGCUUUUUCAGAGACAGAUACUCUCCUGACUCAAAAACACAGCUUUAGCUGCGUGAUGUUGGGUGCGGGCCAGUAAAAUUAGGGUGAGAAGCUAACACUGGGGAGAGUCAUUCUUAAUAGAGUAGAUAUACAUCUAUCUAAGUCAGAAUAAAAGGAAAAGUCGGAACCCUCAGAUAAGCCAGAGUUGUUCAGGCACAUAUAUGCCUGUACUAUUAUAGAAUUCUUGCAGAGGGUAUGGAUUCCAUGGCAAAAGACAGUCAAGAAAAAGGACCACAUAUAUAUCAUGAGCCAAAAGCAAGCAGUUAGAAGGCCAGUUUCACAGGAAGCAAAAAGUAUGUAGGAAUGAAACAUCACUUCAACAGAAGCUGAGCCCCUGAGCUCCACUCUGAGAGGUGCCUACAGUGGGGGCCCUGCCCUUGAGAGCUUGAGGUUUGAAAGAGGGGCAGUUACAAGCCAUCAACAGGGAGCCAGCUUUGCCACUGACCAACUAUUUUUUGCCUUUGCUCAGAAGUUUUUUUUUGUUUCCUGGUCAAGUGGGAUCAACUAUAGCUGGUUGGGGUUUCUAGUUGUAAAUGUUGAAUAAAAUAAUUUCUUUUUUAAAAAAAA